rnacentral:rRNA from 1 species
CGGAUUGUAGUCUGCAACCCGACUACAUGAAGCCGGAAUCGCUAGUAAUCGCGGAUCAGAAUGCCGCGGUGAAUACGUUCCCGGGUCUUGUACACACCGCCCGUCACACCAUGGGAGUCGGUAACACCCGAAGUCGGUAGCCUAACCGUAAGGAGGGCGCCGCCGAAGGUGGGAUUGAUGACUGGGGUGAAGUCGUAACAAGGUAUC